rnacentral:lncRNA from 1 species
UCUUCUUACCUUGAGGUCCCUAAAUAUGCAUCACACUUACUCAAUUUCAACCUACUAGAUGUCAGCUCUCUUGUCUUAGAAGCUUCUAUUUGCCCUUGUAGAGUAGCUAUCUGACAUAAGAGAUGUAUUUUAGCCUCUAUUUGCAAUUGCUCACCUACAUCUUCCAUGUUGUAAUUUCUUUAUUGAAAUUUGGUAUUAUAAUACCUUCUCCUCUUCCAAUUGACUUCUUA